UAGAUAUUUACAUACUAAGUAAACUACUUCGAUUCUAUUAUACAUCUGUACAUGUUUACACAGGUCGAAGGUGUAAUUUAGAAGUCGUAAAAUGCUGGAUGAUAUUAAUGAGUUUAAGUAUUGAUAUGUUAACAAACAUUUUAAGACAGUAAGCGAACGUCCUUCAAAACAACAUAUGAAGUGUUCUGUUAAAGCUGUCUUAUUUUGCAACUGAAGUAAUAGUAACUUAACAAGAAAUUGAACAUUUAGGUGAAGAUAAAAGCAACUGUUUUAACGUUUUUAAGUUCAAGAGCUGAGUGAAGAACAACAAUGGGAGCAUCUGAUUGCAACAAGGAGGAUGCAUUCGUUUUGCAAGAUAAGGAAAGCACAGAUUUACUCGAUGAAAGUGCAAAUGAAAUCCACGGCGUUGAAUUACCAAAGAAACUUCGCAUGUCAAAGAAAAUGAUUAUGAAAAAUUUACUGGUUAUCAGUAUCGCUUUCUUACUUCUCUUUACGGCUUUCAUGUCUCUACAAAACCUUCAAAGCAGUUUGAAUAAAGAAGAAGGUCUUGGCACUGUAAGCUUGUCCGUGAUUUACGUGUUUGGAAUUGUGGCGGGACUCUUCUUACCCCCCUUGGUGAUCAAUACUGUAGGAUGUAAGUGGACAUUGGCGGCCAGCAUGUUCUGUUACGUUGUGUUUAUUGCAGCUAAUCUAUAUGCAGUAUGGGGAACAAUGAUACCAGCUUCUAUUAUCAUAGGUACCGGAGCUGCAACACUGUGGGCUGCCAAAUGUACAUACCUCACUAACAUUGGUGCCUGGUAUGCUGAAAUGACCAAUGCAUCUAGAGACGGAACUAUCAGUGUUUUCUUUGGAGUGUUCUUUAUGAUAUUUCAAACGAGUCAGGUCUUGGGAAACCUAAUUUCAUCAACAGUAUUCAGUCAAAAGAUUCAGUGGUGCCGCGUACUGCCCGUCUGACUAUCAAAACAACACUAAUCUAGACAGACCCGAUAUGACGAUGAUUUAUCCUGUUUGCGGUAUAUAUCUUGGCUGUGCGUGUUUAGCCAUUGUAACAAUUGCCAUUUUCCUAGAUAAGAUAGAUCAUGAGACAGACGGUAGUCAAAUGAGCACCAAACAGUUUCUAGGGGCAAUAGAUCGACAUUUUUACAAUUCCAAGUAUCAAAAUCUAUUAAUAACACUGACCAUGUACAGCGGAAUUGAAUUAGCUUUCAUUGCAGCCUUGUAUGGUUAUUUAUUUACACACAAGCCCGAGUCAGCUUUUGCCAGCUAAAGACUGUGUGAGUCAGCGGGAUUUACUAUAGCUUUUGGUUACAGCAGUUAUAUAUGUACAGACUUCAAGAUCUACGUGUGUCUGUUUUAUGCUACUGUUGGAACUUUGUUGUAUUGUGUGGUAGAGGCGAUGCAAAGGAAGCAAAACAAAAAACAAAGUGAAUAUCUGACUCAGUGAUCAGUAUAGAUUUUGAAGACUUGUAUCCAAUUGAUGGCAAACUUAAAACAAAAUGUUUAAGGAAAUAAGUAUAAGUUUUUUUCUGUUGUAAAAAGUGCAACAUUCAGUUUUUUUUCUGUUGUAAAAAGUGCAACAUUCAGUUUCACACAAAUCAUUUAAAAAGUUCGUCAUAAAAUAUUUUGACAAUGACAAUAUGUUAUACAUUUAAUACGCAAAAACGCUAUUUUCACCUACCCAUUUUUAAAGAUGGUUAACCAGAUUCUGAUCAAGUAAUGGAUUUGGUCGAAAGUUUAACAAACGAUCAUUUACACUUAUGUGUGCUUGCCGACAGCUUAAUACAUGUUACAAUUUCACAAAAUUUAUUUUUCCAAUCCUUGUAGCCAAACCAAGGUAGAUUAUUUUAUUCUUAUUUUGUUGGGUUUAACGUCGCACCGACACAGUUAUAUAACAACCUUCCGUUGUUAUUUAUUUAUGUGUGUUUUUAUUAUACAAUAAGACCUGAAAUUCUAUUAUUAUAAACUUUUUAACACCUCAAGAAAGCUAGAUCCUAAUAUCUGAACUUGAAAGAACUGAUAGACAUUCCGAUAGACAUUUGGAUAGACAUUUGAUAGAACUGAAAGACUUUGUCAAUCUUCUUGAAAUCAAGUUCCAUUUGAAAAACAGUUCAGUUCAAUAGUCACAUUAUCAUUAUGUGACAAUUUAGUCACUGUUAGUUUGAUGUUAGACUGAUAUAUGCAUGAUUUCUUCAGAUUUUCUCAAGAAUUUUUUGAGAUUUAACGCGGAAUCUUUCACUUCCGGUUGUCUGUAAUGCUAAGUUUUCCAGCAAUUUUUACAGUAUUCUACAGUAAAUCUGAAGUAAACAAGAUUUUUAAGUAAGGUUUUUACCAUCAUUUUGUCAAUUUAACUUUUACUGUAACAUAUACUUUAGGCUGUUUUCAGAUCGAUUCUUCUCAAAAGUUGAGUAAGCGCCAUAUUUUGAAAUGUCUUUCGCUCACUUCAUUCGUGAAAGACAUAUGUCUUUCGCCCUCUACCUGAUAAAAUAAGCAGUUCUACCAACCUUAACUUGUAUGGAUUAAUUCCUUAUAUUCCAAAGCAUCCAUUUGUUUCAUGAUAGAUAACUUCCAACUAUUUACAUUUAUGUAUUUUAUCACUAAAGAUAUUUCAACUGGAUGAUGUCUUUCAAGAUGGCGGCAUUCUAACAGAUUUGCCAGAGAUGCUGGCUGUAACGGCUCAUUUCAUUGGUCGACAUGUUUAGACCGCGUUAUUUCAUUGGUGUUAUACUUUUCUUGCCAGACUUUUUCUCUAUAAAUAUAAGUGAGUCACUCGAAAAACCUUAACCUUCACGCCUACGUAAAAAGUAUAUUGAAACUAGACUACUCUUUGUAAACUGCUACGCGACUAGUAAAACUUAGUCGUGCCAUAAUAUCAUGGUUCAAAAGAAUCAAAAGUUGUUUCAAUAGUAAUAUACAUCUGAUUACUAUAGAUAUUUUGAGCUGUUUUAGAAUCUACAUCAGAAUUAUGAAUUUGUGAUGUAUUGUUAAGGACUACUGAAUCAGUUAUAAAGUUAUUAAUAACUUCUAGAAAUCUAUAUCGCUCAUUACAACCA